AAAUUGAAGAGUUUGAUCAUGGCUCAGAUUGAACGCUGGCGGCAGGCCUAACACAUGCAAGUCGAACGGUAACAGGAAGCAGCUUGCUGCUUUGCUGACGAGUGGCGGACGGGUGAGUAAUGUCUGGGAAACUGCCUGAUGGAGGGGGAUAACUACUGGAAACGGUGGCUAAUACCGCAUAACGUCGCAAGACCAAAGAGGGGGAC
rnacentral:rRNA from 10 species